AGAGGACACGCAAAAUGACAAAAAAAGCCAUGGCAUCUCACCCAAAUUUCACUCGCAUUUCAUCUGCAUUUACAUUUCACUCCCCAACGGCUCACUCACACAAGAAUCGGAUCACGCCCUUAUCCUCACUUCUCACUCUAUAAAUACUGCCUUCUCCCCCUCUCCUCUCGCCAUUUUUUUGCUUCACUGUAGGGCGUGGUGCACAGAGAGCUAGAGAGAAGGAGGGAGGAGGCUAGAGAGAGAGAGAGAAAUAAGGCGGUACUCUGGGAUCUACGCAGAGGUGAGCGCUGGGCAGCUAGGUUGGGGGACUCAUCCAAAGAUUCGCUCGCACUUGAGGACUGAAGCUAGCAAUGGAGGAUAAAUAUUGCCCAAUGAAAUAGUGUUUCUUCUGGAACUCAGAAUUCCCAUAAGGUGCAGGCUGUGUUUGAUCAGGAUUUACCUACCAACUGAAGUUGAGGCCUUGCCUCAUCAUCAAAGUUUGCACACCAUGAUCACCUCAGACAUAAUUCUCCACUGUCACACUCAAGCCUGCCUCAUCAUGAAGUGAUGUGCUUAAACAGAUGCUGCCCUGCUACUGACUAAACAUCAUAAUGACCAUCUGCAACUACCAGAUUGUCGUCAAGAUCUUCAGGUUUUUCCAAGUGACUCCAGAAACAAAAUUGCUGGAAUCAACAUAUACCAUCUCCAGAAUCUCAUGAAAGUGCAGGGGUUGUCAGCAGCAGCAAUUUGAUCUGACAGUGAUGUCACAUCUUGCAAUUUCAUCUGAUCAGUUCCCAUAGUGACUCUAGAAGAAAUUUGUUGGAAUCUCAAGAUAUACCUCCCAAAUCCCAGGAUAGAGCAGGGAGGGAUUCUUGUGCUUUUAGUGGUAAUCCAAUUAUGAGAUUGCUUUACAAAGUCUUUACUCCUGUAAUUUGCAAUUCUUUAUAGAGUAAUAUAUUCUAUGAAGUUGUAUUGAGUGGUAGCAAAUAUUCCUUGUGAUUCUUUGUAAUUCAGAAAUGAGAUUUCUUAUGGGUGUAGAUCAGAUCAUUGUAAUUAGUAUUCUGUUUGAAGUUGCAUUCUAUGGGUACUCAGAUCAUUCUUUUGCCCAUAUUAACUUGCAAAAUAA